CACGUAGGCACCAAGCGUUGUCCGGAUUUAUUGGGCGUAAAGGGUGUGUAGGUGGCGCGCUAAGUCGGGUGUGAAAUUUCGGAGCUUAACUCCGAAACUGCAUUCGAUACUGGCGUGCUUGAGGACUGGAGAGGAGACUGGAAUUCAUGGUGUAGCAGUGAAAUGCGUAGAGAUCAUGAGGAAGACCAGUGGCGAAGGCGGGUCUCUGGACAGUUCCUGACACUGAGACACGAAGGCCAGGGGAGCAAACGGG
rnacentral:rRNA from 1 species